rnacentral:rRNA from 1 species
GAUGAACGCUAGCGGCAGGCUUAACACAUGCAAGUCGAGGGGUAUAGAAAGCUUGCUUUCUAGAGACCGGCAAACGGGUGCGGAACACGUACACAACCUACCUUUAUCAGGGGGAUAGCCUUCGGAAACGGAGAUUAAUACCCCAUAGUAUUAUGGAGUGGCAUCAUUUUAUAAUUAAAGAAUUUCGGAUAGAGAUGGGUGUGCGUAAGAUUAGCUAGUUGGUGAGGGAAAGGCUCACCAAGGCAACGAUCUUUAGCGGAUGGGAGAGCAUGGCCACCCACACGGGAACUGAGGCACGGGCACGACGCCUACGGGAUGCAGCAGUAAGUGAUAUUGGUCAAUGGACGGAAGUCUGAACCAGCCAUGCCGCGUGAAGGAUGAAGUCUUUCUGCGUUGUAAACUUCUUUUGUUUAGGAAGAAACCACUUUUUUUUAAGAGUGUUGACGGUAUUAAAUGAAUAAGCACCGGCUAACUCCGUGCCAGCAGCCGCCGUAACAC